rfam:Dipodomys ordii contig_79028, whole genome shotgun sequence.
GGGAAUGUGGCUUAGUGAUAGAGUGCUUGCCUAGCAUGCAUGAAGCCCUGGGUUCAAUUCCCCAGUACCCCA